GGCGGUGCGGGCGGUGCGGGCGACGCGCCGGAGGCCAGCGAGCCCCAGCGCGGCUGCGCUGCAAGGGGCCGUCCCGGCCACAGCUGCUGAUUGUUCUUCAGAACCUCCAUCCUUACAUGUUCACUUGCACCAGAUGAAUGGCCAGUCUUUGUACCUGUGAAUGUGGACAGAGACUGACUCCGGCCUUGAGCAGGUAACCCCACCUCUCCUAGGACCAAACCCCUGCUCUCCCCUCCUCCUUUCAUUAAAAAUUCAAAGAAAGAUUCUCGGACUCUUUCAGCCUUGGGCGUUCAGACUAUUGGAGACACCAGCCAGUUCUUGUCUCUGUUUCCCCAUCACUUUCCUUUCCUGUAAAGCUUCAGAACAAUACUACCCAACUAGUAUCCGAAAAACCGAAGAGGAUUCAGCCGGGAGCUCCUCUUCCACGACACUGCCAGUGUGUGUGGCCUGUGUCCACGUGUUUCCUGGGGAGCCUCUGUCUGCAGUGGAUGCAGUGGCUCCCGUGGGGCUCGGUGGGUGAGACCUCAAAGCUUAGGUGUUCAGUAAUUAUUCCUGUUAAGAAUCCCCUGCAGUAACAAUCUAAGUGCAUGUCAACAGACGAAUGGAUAAAGAAGAUGUCACACACACACAGAAGAAUUAUUAUUCAUCCAUGAGAAAGAAGGACAUCCUGCUGUUUGUGACAGCAUGAACGGACCUUGGAACAUUAUGAUCCCUUAUAACUGGGACCUUAGAGAAUGAAAUGAGUUGGAGAGAAAAGAAACAACGUUCUGCACACAAAUGACCUUACUCUCAGCCUCAUGCCACAAAAGAAAGUACAUUCAGAUGGACAAGUGCUACAGUGAAGGACUCUUGGACAAGACACAGUCCUGGAGAAAUUUUAAUCCCCAAAUCUGAGUGGCUGGAAGGGCUCUGCAUGACUGUGGUGGGAGCUUGGGCACCACUCUGUAAGAAUACGUCACACCAGGCACUCGGCUGAGCACUAGCUUGCACCCUCUGAGCUUUCGGUGGUAACCACCCUUUGCGGAAGGCACGACUAUGGCCCUCAUUUUACCCGUGAGGAAACUGGAGCUCAAAGUGGUCUAAUUCCUUGAUACUCUGUAACUAGGAGCACCAGUGGCUUGCUCUCUCUUUUCUGCCUUUGCGACUGUGAUGAGAGAGAGAAAGCAAAUCCGAUCUGCACUUUUUCCUAUAUUUUAAACCCUCAUGACUAUGUCAACCCAAUCACAGCCCAGCCCUAACGGGAUCAAAACAUACAGCAGCAGCAAACACUUUUCAUUUGUUUACUUCUGUUUGGCUGCAAGUGUGUCAUCUCGGAGUUUUUCACCAUAGUCUCUCCAUUAAGCUGGCCUGCUUCCCUAGCCCAGUAACUUCACCUCACUUCUGCUGCUGCGCCUGCAGCCUCCUGUUUUGCCCUUAUCUUUGAAGUCAGUUGUAGUGGUCUCCCCUCACCUGUGGGGGAUGCGUUCUGGGACCCUGAGUGGAGGCCUGCAACCAGGGAAAGCACCGAACAUAGUACCUACCAUUUUUUCCCCUUAAAGUUGUCCUUAUAUAUUAGGCACAGCAAGAGAUUCACAACAAUAACUAAUAAUAAAAUAAAAUAAGACCGUUAUGAGUGGCUCGGGGGCUAUUAUUAAGUGAAAGGAGGGUUUCUUAAACCCAAGCUCCAAAAUAUUUCAACGGUUGCUCUGAUGACCGGGACAGUGACUGAGCUACUGCCAGGAAGGCAGCAUGUACAGGGCAGAAAACACGUACACGGAGGGGUGGUUCCUGUCCUGAGCAGGAUGGAACAGGACGGUGCAAGAUUUCAUCACGCUCCUCAGAACAGUGUGCAAUUUGAAACUUAUGAAUUAUUUCUGGAAUUUUCCAUUUAAUAUUUACGGGCGUGGUCCGCUGUAACUGAAACUGCAGAAAGCAAAGCCACGGAUAAAGGGGGGAUUACUGUAUAUUGGUGUGUUUAUCUUGUGUCCCCCAUUUGGGCCUCUGGCCUUGUGAUGCUUUUGAAGGCUACUUUAUUUUUCCCAGAGUUGGCUUGUUGUUUAAUGCUUCUUUCCAGUCUUCUUAAGACUAUUAUCCGCCCUCUUCCUAUCACUAAGUCACAAAAUGAUUGCACUUUCAAGCUGUAAAGAGCACAUCCAUUGUGUAGCCAUCAUUUUGCAGAGGAGGUACUCUGGUCUCUCCUCCAGUUGAGUCACCAAGGCUAGGAUGCAGGUCCAGUGCUCUCCUGCAGCAUCUGGUCACUCACUGUGUUUCCUGGGCCCCAGCCUCCCCUGAGCUAGCAUCACAGAUAAGAACAGGCAACACCCCAAUGCCUGGGACUGAGUGGCAACCUCUGUCUCUUUGCUACUCAGGUGGUUGCUUAGCGAAUUCUUGGGCAAUGUGGAUUUUGCCUCUACUAAUUCUGCAAAAUACCCUAAUAAAAUGUCUUUUUUGACGAGUUUGCUCUGGCUAGCAUCUGACCCUUAGUAAUAAUGGCAGGGAGAAGAGCAGGUACAAAGGGGCACCUUACAAAACUACUAUGUCUGGCAGAAGAAACAAGCUUCGCUCCUCCUGGUCCAAGUCUUAAAGCUUCCUUAGAGCUGGAAAAAGCUUUCUUUCUUUUUUAAUAAUUUAACAUUUAUUUUAAAACAUAACCACAAACAUAUACUAUAUUCACACCUUUACA